ensembl:snRNA U6 U6 spliceosomal RNA
AUGCUCGCUUCAGUGGCACAUAUAUUAAAACUGGAACAAUACAGAGAAGAUUGGCACGGCCCCUGCCCAAGGAUGACACACAAACUCAUGAAGCAUUCCAUAUUUUU